GUGCUCACUUCGGCAGCACAUAACACUAAAACUGGAACAAUAGAGAGAUUAGAAUGGCCCUGGGUAAGGAUGACACACAAAUUCUUGAAACUCCAGAGAAGGCC
ensembl:snRNA U6 U6 spliceosomal RNA